AACGAACGCUGGCGGCAUGCCUAACACAUGCAAGUCGAACGAGACCUUCGGGUCUAGUGGCUCACGGGUGCGUAACGCGUGGGAACCUGCCCUUAGGUUCGGAAUAACUCCCCGAAAGGGGUGCUAAUACCGGAUAAUGUCUUCGGACCCAAGAUUGAUCGCCUUUGGUUGGGCCCGCGUUGGAUUAGCUAGUUGGUAGGGUAAAAGCCUACCAAGGCGACGAUCCAUAGCUGGUCUGAGAGGAAGAUCAGCGACACUGGGACUGAGACACGGCCCAGACUCCUACGGGAGGGAGCAGAGGGGAAUAUAGGACAAUGGGCGAAAGCCUGAUCCAGCAAUGCCGCGUGAGUGAUGAAGGCCUUAGAGUUGUAAAGCUCUUUUACCCGGGAUGAUAAUGACAGUACCGGGAGAAUAAGCUCCGGCUAACUCCGUG
rnacentral:rRNA from 1 species